GGGGUGUGUAGGUGCGUGUGCCGUUGCAAAGAAUGCAUCUUCCUGCUCCGGCCGGCUGGGAAAAGGAAAUUGACGGCAACAGAGACAGGACCUGGAAGCAACUUUGGAUGCUUUCUACACAGAGGAGGAAUGUCCAAAACACAUUUGAAAGCUAAACGUCUUCCUGUCCUCUUGGAAUGACAUCUUUGUCACGUUCUGGAUCCCCUCCUUUAUGUCAUGGGAUGGAGACAGCAGCGAUGCAAUCACCGCAGGUGGUGACCCUCCGGAAUGCUGAAGAGACGGCUCGAAAC